rnacentral:rRNA from 1 species
GAUGAACGCUAGCGGCAGGCUUAAUACAUGCAAGACGAGGGGUCAGCAAUGACACCGGCGGACGGGUGCGUAACGCGUAUGCAACCUACCUACAUCAGGGGGAUAGCCCUAGGAAACUGGGAUUAACACCGCAUAAUAGUAUUAAUGGCAUCAUUGAUAUUUGAAAUAUUUAUAGGAUGUAGAUGGGCAUGCGUAAGAUUAGCUAGUUGGUAAGGUAACGGCUCACCAAGGCUACGAUCUUUAGGGGCUCUGAGAGGAGUAUCCCCCACACUGGCACUGAGAUACGGGCCAGACUCCUACGGGAGGCAGCAGUAGGGAAUAUUGGGCAAUGGAGGCAACUCUGACCCAGCCAUGCCGCGUGCAGGAAGACGGCCCUCUGGGUUGUAAACUGCUUUUGAAUGGGAAGAAUGUGAUGUUUGCGAGCAUUAAUGACGGUACCAUUAGAAUAAGCCACGGCUAACUACGUGCCAGCAGCCGCCGUAACAC